rnacentral:rRNA from 1 species
AUACGGAGGGUGCGAGCGUUAAUCGGAAUUACUGGGCGUAAAGCGUGCGUAGGCGGUUAGUUAAGUUAGAUGUGAAAGCCCCGGGCUUAACCUGGGAACUGCAUUUAAAACUGGCUAACUAGAGUUAAGUAGAGGGGAGUGGAAUUUCAGGUGUAGCGGUGAAAUGCGUAGAGAUCUGAAGGAACACCAGUGGCGAAGGCGACUCCCUGGACUUGAACUGACGCUGAGGUACGAAAGCGUGGGUAGCAAACGGGAUUAGAAACCCUUGUAGUCC